AAUGAACGCUGGCGGCGUGCCUAACACAUGCAAGUCGAACGAGAAAGCCCGCAAGGGUGAGUACAGUGGCGCACGGGUGAGUAAUACAUAGGAAUCUACCUCUGAGUGAAGAAUACCCUAGAGAAAUUUAGGUUAAUACUGCAUAAGCCCAGAAAUGGGGAAAGGUGGCCUCAAACUACCGCUGAGAGAUGAGCCUGUGGCCUAUUAGCUAGUUGGUAGGGUAAAAGCCUACCAAGGCGAGGAUGGGUAGCCGGCCUGAGAGGGUGACCGGUCACACUGGGGCUGAGACACGGCCCAGACUCCUACGGGAGGCAGCAGUGGGGAAUAUUGGGCAAUGGGCGGAAGCCUGAUCCAGCAACGCCGCGUGAGGGAUGACGGCCUUCGGGUUGUAAACCUCUUUCAGCAGGGACGAAGCGCAAGUGACGGUACCUGCAGAAGAAGCACCGGCCAACUACGUGCCAGCCGCCGCCGUAA
rnacentral:rRNA from 1 species